GACGAACGCUGGCGGCGUGCUUAACACAUGCAAGUCGAACGGAAAGGCCCUGCUUUUGUGGGGUGCUCGAGUGGCGAACGGGUGAGUAACACGUGAGUAACCUGCCCUUGACUUUGGGAUAACUUCAGGAAACUGGGGCUAAUACCGGAUAGGAGCUCCUGCUGCAUGGUGGGGGUGGGUAAGUUUCGGCGGUUGGGGAUGGACUCGCGGCUUAUCAGCUUGUUGGUGGGGUAGUGGCUUACCAAGGCUUUGACGGGUAGCCGGCCUGAGAGGGUGACCGGCCACAUUGGGACUGAGAUACGGCCCAGACUCCUACGGGAGGCAGCAGUGGGGAAUAUUGCACAAUGGGCGGAAGCCUGAUGCAGCAACGCCGCGUGCGGGAUGACGGCCUUCGGGUUGUAAACCGCUUUCGCCUGUGACGAAGCGUGAGUGACGGUAAUGGGUAAAGAAGCACCGGCUAACUACGUG
rnacentral:rRNA from 1 species